rnacentral:lncRNA from 1 species
CUUUUUAGGGUUGCACCUGAGGCAUAUGGAAAUUCCCAGGCUGGGGGCUGAAUCGGAGCUGUGGCUGCUGGCCUAUGCCACAGCCACAGCAACUCAGGAUCUGAGUCCUGUGAUCUAAAUCACAGCUCACAGCCAUGCAGGAUCCUUAACCCACUGAUCGAGGCCAGGGAUUGAACCCAUGUCCUCAUGGAUACUAGUUGGGUUCCUUAUCACUGAGCCACAACAGAACUCCAAGGCAAGAACGCUCUUGAGUGGCUCUUGGGAAAGACUGGGUGUGAGGUUCACGGUAAGAACACAGAUCACAUGCCUCGCACAGUUUGCAGUGUGUUCAUACAUCUCGGCUCAUUUAUUGUCAGGGCUGAUGUAAGGGGUAGAUCUCAGCCCACUCGGCACGUGAGGAACAGGAGGCUCAAAGGCUCAAAGAGUUCAAAUCCUUUGGCCAAGAGUGCCUGGUCAGAAAGAGAUGCUGCUGAGAGUCAGAGCUGUUGGAAGGUUCUCUGGUCUCUUAGCUGGGACGCCAUCUGACUUUUUUUUUUUUUUUUAAUUAAAGUAUAGUUGAUUUACAAUGUUCCUUCAAAUUCUGCUGUACAGCAGCAAAGUGACCCAGACAUAUAUAUAUAUUUUUUUAAAUAGUCAUUUUUGUUUCAUACUAUCUUCCAUCAUGUUCUAACCAGAGAGACAGAGCAUAGUUCCCUGUGCUGCACAGUAGGACCCCAUCACUUAUCCAUUCGAGAUGUAAUAGUUUGCAUCGACCAACCCCAAACUCCCCGUCCACCCUACUCCCCCCCAUCUAUCUUAAUCCCUGUUUUAGCUGCAGUGUCCUGCCCAAGACCUGGCACGCCGAAAGGACUCAGUAACUCUUUGUGGAUAACUGUUUCCAGAAAGACGAGCAGAAUUCACACUCUUCUGUGCUGCAUAGUGUGGGGCUCUAUUCAGUUCCGUUUAUAGAGAGGAAAGAAAGGCAGAGCCAAGCUUCCUAAUUCUUCUCUGUGGAUGAGGCAAUUCCAAGGUGUGAACACACACACACAUACGUGCACACACACACACACACACACACACGUCCCUCUCCAGCACGCACGUGCACACACACGUCCCUCUCCAGCACACAUGUGCACACACACACGUCCCUCUCCAGCACACACCACACACACACACACACACACGUCUCUCUCCAGCACACACAUGCACACACACACACACACACACACGCGUCCCUCUCCAGCACACACACGCACACACAUUCACAAGGACAUCCUUCCCCCAGAUGAUUUCCCAGUAACUGUCGCCACUUUCCCUCCUCUUUUCCUUGCCUCCGCCCACGAGAGCAUUUCCCAGGAUCCACAUCUUUGCGUUCCAUCUUCAACACUUUUGCUCUGGCUUAUCAGAGUUUUUCUAUUGUUUUCAUGACACUUUCUUUAAAUCAACCCACUUAAAAAAGAAAAAAAAAAGCAAACAACCACUUGGCUAUCCUGAGAUAUCAAAGGCAAGUUUUUGAUGCUUAUGGCAGGUGGGGGCUCAGAAUCAUCUCAUAAAUGAAAGGCAAGCUUAAAAAUCAAGUAAGAUGGGAACAAGGGUAUUCUUACUCUCUCUCUCUCUCUCUCUUUUUUUUUGUUGUUGUUGCUUUUUAGGAUUGCACUUGCAGCUUAGGGGUCCAAUCAGAGCUACAGCGGCCAGCCUACACCACAGCCACAGCACCACCAGAUCCGAGCCACAUCUGCGACCUACACCACAGCUCAUGGCAACACCAGAUCCUUAAACCCACUAAGCAAGACCAGGGAUUGAACCCGCGUCCUCACGGAUACUAGUUGGAUUCAUUUCCACUGCAGCACAAUGGGAACUCCCAGAGAUAGGAUUUUUAAGAGGUGAUUCAGUUAAAAUGAGGUCAUCAGGAUGAGCCCGCACCCAAUAAGACACGGCGUCCUUAUAAGAAGAGGGAUUAAGACACAGACACGCAGAGAGGGAAGACCACCUGAGAAGGAGAGGGCGGCCGUCUGCAAACCAAGGAGAGAGACUUCAGAAGAAACUCACCUGCAGACCCCCUGAUCUCAGACAUCCAGCCUCUAGAACUGUGAGAAAACAUAUUCAUUUUGUUUAAGCCACCCAGCAAACUAACACACAGUCAAAACAAAAGUUGAGCCCCUUCCCAAAGUUCACGUAUUCUCCCUCUGUCUAGGCCAUUAUGACAGAUCUGUGUGAAUCAGAAGCCAUGAUCCUCUUGGGAGUUCCCGCUGUGGCUAAGCUUGUUAAGAACCUGACUAGUAUCCAUGAGGAUACAGGUUCGAUCCCUGGGCUCACUCGGUGGGUUAAGGAUCCGGCAUGGCCCCGAGCCAAGCUGUAGGUCGAAAACCCAGCUUGGAUCCAGUGUCGCUGUGGCUGUGAUAUAGGCUGGCAGCUGCAGCUCCAA